GUUUGUUUUUGCUCUACAGGAUUGAACCGUCUCUGUGUCUUGCUUUGAGCGCUGCUGUUGGGUGCUGUGAGUGGACCUCAAGUAAGCUCCGUUUUUGAAACAUGGUAAGCGCAUGGUUACUGUCUAUAAUGGGUAGGGGCAGGUGGCUGAGCAGUGGGAGCUGAGGUGGUGUGUCCUCUCUGGGGCUGUAUGGGAAGCCUCAGCCAGAUGUAACCAGAUGUGGCCAAUUGUGCGGUCCUUUGUGAUGCUCCUCACUUGCUAAAACAGGCGGUGAACUCUGAAUAACAUCAGUAUCAGGGCUGAAUCAGCUCAAAACAUUAGGAUUAGGGGCUUGCUUGUAGAAAUUUCACGGGCAGGAUGCCAAACUUGGAGAGCCCUAGUUUCUCUUGAAUCUUCUAUAAGUUUUGCCCCCAGCAUUUACCUAUUAAGUAUAAGAUCCAUUUGUAGUUAAUUUUGUGGAGCUGUUAAAAGGCAUCUCAUGUGUUGGGUAGCACUCCCAUACUAAGCUGAGAUGUAGAAGAGUAGAAUUGAUGAUUUAAAUGGUUUACCAAGCUUAAGAAAUAGUGACAGUAAGUAGCAUUUAGCUGAUGGAGGACUGUGUCAAAAACACCCCACAGGUUAGUAUGCUAAGCAGGCCGGUUAGAGACUAGGAUGCUAGGAUUCACAUGUUUGCUCCCCAGGUUUGUCUACACAGCUGGCUCCAAACUAUAACAAAGGAGAGACAACUGUGAUGUACAACCAGCCACUUGGCACAUGCUCAAAGCAAAAAGCAGGUCUGUAACAAGCUGCUCAAUCCAUCAUUACAGAGUCACAACCAACAUUAAUGCCUGGUGUGCCUAAAGCUCCCGUUUUCUAAUUGAGAAAAGCAUAGUUCUGCCACAUGGAAAAAUUACACUGGUUGACAUCCAUUUGAGAAGGAAAAACACCUAUGUGCUUGCAGACAGGAGCUGAGCAUGGCUGUCCUCUGAGAGGCUCUACCAGUAACUGAGACAGAUGCAGAUACUUACAGCCAACCAAUGGACUCCAGUCAGGGACCCUAUGGAAGAGUUAGGGGAAGGAUUGAAGGAGCUGUAUGGUAUACCAGUCCCUUAAGAAGACCAAUAGUAUCAUGUAACCUAGACCCCUGGGAGCUCACAGAGACGAAGCCAUCAACCAAAGAGAAUACAUGGGCUGGUCCAUGGUCCCAGGAACAUAUGUAGCAGAGGACUGCAUUGUCUGUACCGAAUAGGAGACUAUACACCUAAUCUUGUAGACUUGAUUCCCCCGGGAAGAAGAAUGAGGAAGGUGAGGAGUGGGUGAGAGGAGUGGAGAUGGGGUGAUGGGGCAAGGUCUCAAAGGCAAAGGGAAGGGGGAGGAGGGUAAAGAACCUUGGGAGGGAACCAGAUCAUGGGCCACAGUUAGAAUGUAAAUAAAUAAACAGAGAGAGAUGGAGAGACUGAGACUGUUGUAUGGAGGGCUACCCUUAUCAAGUAAUCUUUCCCUAAAGUUCUCAUGUAUAAAGAGUGAUAUAACUCCUUCUCAAACCCAGGAACAUAUUUGCAGAGCCAAUAAUGGACUGGAGCCUAGGCCUUGGGAGCUUUUUUUGUGGCUACAAUGUAUUGAGAAUUAAAUAGAUCUCCCUUUCUAAAGCUUGGAAAGUCCUUGGGCGAGAUGGUAAUUUCCUGGGGCCAAGGCCUUCAUGACAAUUUAUAUCCUCAGAACGCAACUUUUUUUUUCUUUUCUUUUUCUUUUUUUUUUUCUUUUUUUUUCUGGUGUUUUGAGACAAGGUUUCUCUGUGUUGCCCUGGCUGUCCUAGAACUCACUCUGUAGACCAUACUGGCCUUGAACUCAGAAAUCUGCCUGCCUCUACCUCCUGAGUGCUGGGAUUAAAGCGUACUCAAACACUGCCCAGGAGUAAUGUUCUUGAGAUAUGGGGUAACCUCCUUAUGCACCUUCUUAGAGGAAGGUGAGGUCUUCUUACAAGUCUCCCAUUGAUUUCCAUCUUCCCUCUGUAAGUAGAAUACAAGCUGCUAUUCUUAAGAGCUUUACUUAGCACAAGACAUGGCUUUUGCAACACCUCUCCACCACAACUUUUAUUCAUUCUUUUUUGUUUUAUAUAUAUAUAUAUAUAUAAUAUGUGUAUUUGAUUGCUCUCUUCAGAAACAACAAACAGAAGAGGGCAUCAGAUCCCAUUACAGAUGGUUGUGAGCCACCAUGUGGUUGCUGGGAAUUGAAUGCAGGACCCCUGGAAGAGCACUUGGCACUCUUAACUGCUAAGCCAUCUCUCCAGCCCACUUUUAUACAUUCUACCUUCUACUUUUUGGCUUUUUCAUCCUCUAGGCUCUUGGACUUUGGGCCCUGUCACUGAAGAAUCACCCUUUGUAUUAGGGCACUGGUGUAAUUAAGAAAUAGAUUCUGGGCCCAUUGGUCGUGCAAACUUUAUCUGCCUCAAUACAGGGGAACGCCAGGGCAAGAAGUGGGAGUGGGUGGGUAGGGGAGUGGGUGGAGGGUAUGGGGGACUUUUGAGAUAGCAUUGUAAAUUUAAAUGUGGAAAAGACCUAAUAAAAAAAUU
rnacentral:lncRNA from 1 species